rnacentral:rRNA from 1 species
GACCGUGCAAAGGUAGCAUAAUCAUUUGCCUUAUAAUUGAAGGCUAGUAUGAAUGGUUUGACGAGAAUUAAGCUGUCUCUUUUCAACUGAAUAUAAUUUUAUAAAUAGGUGAAGAAGCCUAUGUUAGAUUGAAAGACAAGAAGACCCUAUCGAGCUUUAAACAAUUUAAUAGGUUAAUAAUAUAUUUAUAAAAAAAAUUAGACUAUUAAAAAUUUUAGUUGGGGCGACUGAGGAACAAAUGAAGCUUCCUUUAUACUAUGAAGUACAAACAAGUAUUGAUCCAAUAAAUUUGAUUAAAGGAAUUAGUUACCGUAGGGAUAACAGCAUAAUCCUUCUUGAGAGCUCUUAUCGAAAGAGGGGUUUGUGACCUCGAUGUUGGACCAGAAUACCCAGAAGAUGCAGCUGUCUUCAACGGUUGGUCUGUUCGACCAUUAAAAUUCUACGUGAUCUGAGUUCAGACCGGCGUGAGCCAGGUCAGUUUCUAUCUUCAAUUAUUAAAAUAGCUUUAGUACGAAAGGACCAAGUUAUUACAAUAUUUCUGUUAUUAAUUGAUUAAAUAUAAAGACCUAUUAAGUUUUUAGUACAAUCAAAUUAGCAAAGAUUAAUGCAAUUGACUUAGGAUCAAUAGACAUAGGCGGAAUCCCUUUAUUUGAUAAAAAUAAAGAUGGCAGAAUAA